rnacentral:rRNA from 1 species
UCCCUACGGGGGGCAGCAGUAGGGAAUUUUCGUCAAUGGGCGCAAGCCUGAACGAGCGAUGCCGCGUGAGUGAAGAAGGCCUUCGGGUCGUAAAGCUCUGUUGCGGGGGAAAAAAGGCAUCUGCAGGAAAUGGUAGAUGACAGAUGGUGCCCCGCCAGAAAGUCACGGCUAACUACGUGCCAGCAGCCGCGGUAAUACGUAGGUGGCAAGCGUUAUCCGGAAUGAUUGGGCGUAAAGGGUGCGCAGGCGGCGUGGCAAGUCUGAAGUGAAAGGUACGGGCUCAACCUGUACAGGCUUUGGAAACU